CGGAAAGCAGACGUGCGAUCCCCGCGCUCGCUCAGUUUCUGGCUGGCUGUCACGGAGAGCAGUCGCAUCGGUCUGCGCUCCUACUGUGGGCGCAAGACAUGCUUAAUCCAGGCAGAGACACAAAGUGAAAAGGUUCAAUCUUGUGAAAGUCAAGUGUCCACUUGCGAAAGCUCUGAAACACGUCUGCUAAAAGCAGCGCGUCUGUGAGAAGAUGCCCUCCGCCUGUGAUGCGAGGCAGGAUGUAGUCCAGCAACCACCCCAACAACACAGAAACGUCCUGCGAUCGUCCCCAGGAUGUCAACCCCGGACGACGAUGACAUCCUCAGGAAGUUAUCAACUGGUCCUCCCAGUGUUACCUCCGUGUUAAAGUGGGACUCCCGGUCAUAUCACCUGCACAUCCUCAGGGUGUCAACCUGGAACACGCGCAGGACCUUAUGAGGACGACUUCACCUGCACCUCAUUUUUCUGCGUAUAAUUUAUACGAAACCAGACGCAGUCCUGAUAACUUCUCUUUUUCCAUACAUCUUGAUUAACUUCCGCAAUACAAUCUCGCUGUUUGUUUCUAGUACAAUUCAUAACGGACAACGAGCGCAGCGGUUUAAAGAGAAAUAUAAAAGACGCAAAAAAAAUACUGUCAGGGGCACGAAGUCCGAGAAACCCACUCCGAAAGGUACUAGAAUUCUCUUCCGAAGCCAAAACAGACACUGUUCAUUGCUUAUAACGCGAUCCUCCGUACAUUUGAGAGUCCUGCUCGCCUGUGACACAAAACGAAGGGUGUGCUAUCCAUGUUUCUUUCGAUUACGCAAAGAAAGAAUAAUUAAAGUGAGGAAUUCAUUGAAGUAUUAGGUCCAGAUCAAUGCAAAGUCUAUGUUUCUUACUCCUUUUGGUUUGAGACGUUCAGGUAGGAGC